AACGAACGCUGGCGGCAGGCCUAACACAUGCAAGUCGAACGGACCCUUCGGGGUUAGUGGCGCACGGGUGAGUAACACGUGGGAAUUUGCCCUUAGGUACGGGACAACAGCUGGAAACGGCUGCUAAUACCGUAUGAUAUCGAGAGAUCAAAGAUUUAUCGCCUAAGGAUUAGCCCGCGUUAGAUUAGGUAGUUGGUGGGGUAAGAGCCUACCAAGCCUACGAUCUAUAGCUGGUCUCAGAGGAUGAUCAGCCACACUGGAACUGAGACACGGUCCAGACUCCUACGGGAGGCAGCAGUGAGGAAUAUCGGACAAUGGGCGAAAGCCUGAUCCAGCCAUGCCGCGUGAAUGAUGAAGGCCUUAGGGUUGUAAAGUUCUUUUAGUAGUGAAGAUGAUGACGGUAACUACAGAAAAAGCCCCGGCUAACUCCGUGCCAGCCGCCGCCGUAAAAC
rnacentral:rRNA from 1 species